rnacentral:rRNA from 1 species
UACGAAGGGGGCUAGCGUUGUUCGGAAUUACUGGGCGUAAAGCGCACGUAGGCGGACUAUUAAGUCAGGGGUGAAAUCCCGGGGCUCAACCCCGGAACUGCCUUUGAUACUGGUAGUCUCGAGUCCGGAAGAGGUGAGUGGAAUUCCGAGUGUAGAGGUGAAAUUCGUAGAUAUUCGCAAGAACACCAGUGGCGAAGGCGGCUCACUGGUCCGGUACUGACGCUGAGGUGCGAAAGCGUGGGGAGCAAACAGG